UCCCUCUUAGCUCAGUGGUAGAGCGCGUCACUAGUAACUAGCUCGUGCAGAGUGGUUACGUAAUGACGAGGUCAUCUGUUCGAUCCAGGUAGCGGGAA